CUUCGCCAUUCUUCUCUCCUCUCCUCUCACGGCCAUUCGCGAGAAAACCUGUGUUUCUCUCUCUCUCUCUUUCUGAUUUCUCCGAUUGCGAAAUCUCUGUUGGGUGAAGGGUUUGGCUUAAUCUCUGUCUGCAAUUCAAAAGUAUGAAGCUUUGUACACGAAUCUCUUAUGUGUUGUCCUUCAAUUCUGUGAUUCUCUCACUGAAAUUUUGGUAAACAAAAUCGAGAUAGCUUCUGGGUUUCUUACCUCAGUUUUGUGUUAUAUGUUUGUAAUUGGGACCCCUCAGCAGCCAAAAUGAAUCGUUCUUCGAUUGCUAUAUUAUCUCUGUUACUAAUUUCACACUUGGUUUCUGCAAAAAAUUCGAUUGAUUGGAAAGAACACAUCUCUCUCUCUUUCGACGACAUCGAAGCCAAUUUCAUGUUGAAGUUGAUGGCUUCCUUUGUGAUUCAGAUGUGAUCAAAGAACGAGUCUCAAGGAAGAGGUAGCAAAAGCUAUUUGGUCAAAUCUGCUUUAACGAUUAGUUAUGGUUCUUUCUAUCCAAUAUAGAUUGAUGUUGAACCUGUUAUUAAGUUUUUGUUCUUAUUGCCUCACGAUCAAAACUGAAUCUUGCACUAGUUUUAGCUUCAAAGCUUGUAGGGAGAAACAUAUGUCUCCAUAUGUAAUUUAAAUUUACAUCAACCACAAAACCAUGAUUUGAAUCCAUAUUAUUCUUUUUUUUU